GCGCUCCUAUUGGUUGCGGGGGGCGCCCGGCGCGCUUCGCGGCCGCGCGGGGGUUGCCGGGAAGGCGCCGCGCCGCCUGACGGGCCGCGCUCGGCGGUGGCGGCGGGCCGCGUCCCGCCGUGUGAGCGCUGUGGGGAGAGAAAAUGGCGCCGGGCCGGGAAACGGCGGGACUCCGUGCCGCCUCGGCCCGCGGUCAGCUCUCGCUGCGUUCCGCUUUUUGAGCCUGGUUUUCUCCUUAGCUCGGAGUCGGCCCCGCUUAGUUUCCUCCUUCCUCAGAGGCGCUGAGGUGAAGCCCUGGGCUUGGCGCGGGGUGGCCCGGCCCUCCUGCGGCCCUCAGCGGCACCUCCGGCUCCCGGAGCGCUCCCGAGCCGCGUGCCCGCCUGCCGCUGAGGCCUGCCGGUACCCCACAUGCCCGCCAGCGGCUGCGCAGUGUUACGGGGACAGCACGGUCAAGCCGACGAUGCGGCAGGCACUGAAUGCAGUGGUAGGCGUUGAAAAUUGGAAGCAAAAAUGUCAUCAGCAGGGAUCUGGUGUAACAGCGCAGCACUACGGUGCCAUGCUUCUGAUGGAAGUGCACACGGUCAGACACUUCACAAAGAAAAGGCAGAACUGCAGCAGCAGCAAAGCCUUCCACAAGGGCUGCAGCAUCUGAGGGACAGCAAGGCCAUAGGCACAGUGGGAAGAAAGUGAGAGCAUCACUCCCUGCCUGGGGACAGCCCCAGAGCACUGUGGCAUGGGGCCACAUGGUUGUGUCACAGUGUGAUGAGCCCCAGGAGCACAACUUGCAGGACUCACAGUUCCAGGCUGCCUAUGGCCAUUCAAAGCCUGUUUUUCCUCAAGAACAGCAUCCAGAGGAUGGCUCUCCCUGCCUUGCUUUACUGCCACUUUCCCUUCUCUGUUUUCCAUUCUCCUUAAUAGAAAAACAACUUCUCACACGCUUUUAGCUCUUAGGUGAGUUGCCUGCCUCCUGCCCUCCUGUCCACAAAGAAUACAUUCUUAUUUGGGUAAAUCCAGCCCCUAGCACCCAGGGAUACCCCAUUAUGGGAAACCCAGAGAUCUGUGCUGAGUCCAUCCCUCCUGAACAGCCCUCCACCAGCAGUGGGUACCACACAGGCAUGGGACACCCGUGAGCUUUUCUUAUGGCCAUCUGGGCUGAAAGCAGCUCCCCAAAUACAGGCAAGAAACGCAGGAUUCUGUAAGCCUGUGUGUGGCCCCUGUGCCAGCUGCCCCCCUUUAAGCAGCAGCUGCCUGGGGAUGCACGUGGCUCAGGAGAACCCCAAAAUCUUUGGAGGAUUUUCCCCAUGCCAACAUGAGCAGCACAGCAUGAUGGAAACCAAAGGCCUUGUCCAUCUCUCACCUGCAGUGCUGUGGCUUCAGCCAGCAGCAUUCCCAGCUCACAGCCUGGUUUUCACCUCCCCCAAGAUCUCAGUCUGGACAGUCCCUGAGAACAGGAUCAGGCCCAGAACUGACUGCCAGUUUUUGGUGGCCCUGCACAACUAGGGUCUCUGUGAGCACCCUCACCACCAGGAGCCCUAACGCUCAGCCCUGCCCUACCUGCAUGGAGCUACCAGAGUCUGGGCAGCAUCUGUCAGCACAUAGAGGCUAUGGGGUGUGCAGGGUCAGAGCAGCAGAGCAGUCCUGGGCACACAGCA
rnacentral:lncRNA from 1 species